rnacentral:misc_RNA from 1 species
GAUGAAGAACGCAGCGAAAUGCGAUAAGUAAUGUGAAUUGCAGAAUUCAGUGAAUCAUCGAAUCUUUGAACGCACAUUGCGCCCCUUGGUAUUCCGAGGGGCAUGCCUGUUCGAGCGUCAUUAUAACCCCUCAAGCUCAGCUUGGUGUUGGGGCCUGCUGCACUGGCAGCCCUUAAAAUCAGUGGCGGCGCCAUCUGGCUCUAAGCGUAGUAAUUCUUCUCGCUAUGGAGUCCUGGUGGAUGCUUGCCAUCAACCCCCAAUUUUUCUAUGGUUGACCUCGGAUCAGGUAGGGAUACCCGCUGAACAUAAGCAUAUCAAUAAGCGGAGGA